UAGCCUUGACCGGUGCGUCAGUGCAGGUGGCAAAAACGGUUGCAAAAACAGGGCGUUGGUGUGUCGUCUAGACGGUUUUUUGUGGGCUUUUUGCAGGGCGCCGCGCUGCGCGCUGGCGUUCUGCGUUGCCGGAGUUUGGCCCAGUCCCCCAGAUUGUCGGUGGCGAGUGGACGCGACUGCAACUUGUGCGAGCGCUGCGGGCUGCAGCGGCGGGGGAUCGGACUGCGCUCGUCUGAGACAGAUGGAUCGAAAUCGUGCGAGUGAGUCGUGCGGCAGCUCAGCCUCGGCUGUUCGGUCCGACAACUCGGAAAAUUUCAGCAGAGAGGCUCAAAUGACCCCAAGAGGCUGAGCGCUGUUCUCGGUUCGGCCGUCUCUGAUGGCAUGGUCAAACGCUUCCGGCUGCUCUACUCAGCACGGACGGCAGAAUGAACCGCUACGUGUCGACAGAAAAGGUCUGGAUUGGUGAGCGCCCAGACCUUCGGUCCUCGGAGCCAGGUGAUGGCUCUGAGACACCAAUGGCCAGCCCCUCUGGUCGCUGACCAUUGGUCAAGGACGUUACGCUGAACGGUCUCUGAUGUCACGGUCUCUGGGCUUUGGUCCACAUGAUCUGUUUAACUUCAUAUGUAGUUACGCGACUAUUACGGCUGCCUCUGCCGCUGAGAGUAGUGCAAGUGCCAAGAAACCGUGGAGAGCCUGCAUCUACAUCUCUCCUGCAACUCCGAUGGGAGGAGGAUAUGUGCCCUGAUCCCACCACUGCAACCAGCUAGAGCGCCUGCUCUAUGAGUGAGUUGACUCGUGACUGAUGUGGCAUGACGAAAUGCCAUCAAGUGGUGAAAGAUUGUCGUCGUA